GGCCGCAUGGUGUAAUGGGAGCACAAUCCGAUUUGGCCGGAUAGACGUCGAUUCGAUUCCGACUGUGGCCC